rnacentral:rRNA from 1 species
GACGAACGCCGGCGGCGUGCUUAACACAUGCAGGUCGAACGGAAAGGCCCUGCUUUUGUGGGGUGCUCGAGUGGCGAACGGGUGAGUAACACGUGAGUAACCUGCCCUUGACUUUGGGAUAACUUCAGGAAACUGGGGCUAAUACCGGAUAGGAGCUCCUGCUGCAUGGUGGGGGUUGGAAAGUUUCGGCGGUUGGGGAUGGACUCGCGGCUUAUCAGCUUGUUGGUGGGGUAGUGGCUUACCAAGGCUUUGACGGGUAGCCGGCCUGAGAGGGUGACCGGCCACAUUGGGACUGAGAUACGGCCCAGACUCCUACGGGAGGCAGCAGUGGGGAAUAUUGCACAAUGGGCGGAAGCCUGAUGCAGCAACGCCGCGUGCGGGACGACGGCCUUCGGGUUGUAAACCGCUUUCGCCUGUGACGAAGCGUGAGUGACGGUAAUGGGUAAAGAAGCACCGGCUAACUACGUG